AAGCUUAAAAACGCCCUUGGCCCCCCGCCCCGGGGGUUGCCUGGCCCGGCUGCUGCGUGUGGGAGAGCCCAGGCCGGUGGCUUGGCCCAGACCGCCCCCCCCCGCUACGGUUACAUGCGUGGAGCUCGGCUCUGAGGCACAGGUACUCAGUGCUAUAGAAGAAUUCUGUACCCUUAUUUUUCUACACCGUAGCAGUUUGUGUCAAACCCAACCUAAACAUUUGUGUAGAGAACAAUUCUGCCCUCGUGCACUUACUGUCUUAUGUGUCAACGUCAAUACUUACCUGUUGCCACGUACCCAUCCAUCUAACUGUAGUGAAAUCAUUUUAUCUAACUGUAGCUAGAUAUUUACAACUCAGAUGUAAAUAUUUUAGGUGCCUAAAGUAUGUUCGUUAGUACUCUCUUGCUAAGUGCUACAGUGCUGACCUUUAAAUAUCGAAAACUAAGCAUCUGAGUUAAUACCCAACCAUUGUCACUUCUCAGAAAUACAGCUGAUGGUUCUUUGCAGGCCCAGACAUCUCUUCAUCAGUUUAUAUUCCAGCACUCCAGAAAAAGAAUUGCUGUUUCCCAGGAGAAAAUGAAAACCUUUAUAAGUUUGGUGCUGGUAAAGACCCUGAAGACCCCCUGCAUGUAGGAGACAAAUGUGCGUGUUGUAAUUGUUAUUACAGAAAAUAAAAAUCAGUAAGCACAAACUUA